rnacentral:rRNA from 1 species
UACAGGGGGUGCAAACGUUGCUCGGAAUCAUUGGGCGUAAAGCGCACGUAGGCGGUUCGUUAUGUCGGAUGUGAAAGCCCUUGGCUUAACCGAGGAAGUGCAUCCGAAACUGGCGAGCUAGAGUACUAAAGAGGAUCGCGGAAUUCCCGGUGUAGAGGUGAAAUUCGUAGAUAUCGGGAGGAACACCGGUGGCGAAGGCGGCGAUCUGGGUAGAUACUGACGCUGAGAUGCGAAAGCGUGGGGAGCAAACAGG